rnacentral:rRNA from 1 species
UACGGAGGAUGCAAGCGUUAUCCGGAUUCAUUGGGUUUAAAGGGUGCGCAGGCGGAAUAAUAAGUCAGCGGUGAAAGCCUACAGCUUAACUGUAGAACUGCCAUUGAUACUGUUAUUCUUGAGUGUUGUUGAGGUUGGCGGAAUGUGUCAUGUAGCGGUGAAAUGCUUAGAUAUGACACAGAACACCGAUCGCGAAGGCAGCUAACCAAGCAACAACUGACGCUCAUGCACGAAAGCGUGGGGAU